UAAACGACUCUCGGCAACGGAUAUCUCGGCUCUCGCAUCGAUGAAGAACGUAGCGAAAUGCGAUACUUGGUGUGAAUUGCAGAAUCCCGUGAACCAUCGAGUUUUUGAACGCAAGUUGCGCCCCAAGCCGUCAGGCCGAGGGCACGUCUGCCUGGGUGUCACGC
rnacentral:rRNA from 1 species